rnacentral:rRNA from 1 species
GAUGAACGCUGGCGGCGUGCCUAAUACAUGCAAGUCGAGCGAACGGAUAAGGAGCUUGCUCCUUUGAAGUUAGCGGCGGACGGGUGAGUAACACGUGGGUAACCUACCUAUAAGACUGGAAUAACUUCGGGAAACCGGAGCUAAUGCCGGAUAACAUUUGGAACUGCAUGGUUCUAAAGUAAAAGAUGGUUUUGCUAUCACUUAUAGAUGGACCCGCGCCGUAUUAGCUAGUUGGUAAGGUAAGGGCUUACCAAGGCAACGAUACGUAGCGGACCGGAGAGGGGGAUCGGCAACACUGGAACUGAGACACGGUCAAGACUCCUACGGGAGGAAGCAGUAGGGAAUCUUCCGCAAUGGACGAAAGUCUGACGGAGCAACGCCGCGUGAGUGAUGAAGGUUUCGGAUCGUAAAACUCUGUUAUUAGGGAAGAACAAAUGUGUAAGUAACUGUGCACAUCUUGACGGUACCUAAUCAGAAAGCCACGGCUAACUACGUGCCAGCCGCCGCAGUAA